rnacentral:misc_RNA from 1 species
CCGUCAAUUCAUUUAAGUUUCACACUUGCGUGCGUACUCCCCAGGCGGAUCACUUAUCGCGUUAGCUUGGGCGCUGAGGUUCGACCCCCAACACCUAGUGAUCAUCGUUUACGGCGUGGACUACCAGGGUAUCUAAUCCUGUUUGCUCCCCACGCUUUCGCGCUUUAGCGUCAGUAUCUGUCCAGUGAGCUGACUUCUCCAUCGGCAUUCCUACAAAUAUCUACGAAUUUCACCUCUACACUUGUAGUUCCGCCCACCUCUCCAGUACUCUAGAAAAACAGUUUCCAACGCAAUACGGAGUUGAGCCCCGCAUUUUAACAUCAGACUUAUUUUUCCGCCUAGACGCGCUUUACGCCCAAUAAAUCCGGAUAACGCUUGCGACAUACGUAUUACCGCGGCU